AAGUUGUUCUCGGUUUUUUUUCCUGCCAUGUGCCACCUUUUGCAAAAAUGAUGUGUGCUGGCAGCUCCUCAGGCUGAGAAUGGGUUCCUCACAUCACCCUGGGCACAUGGAAAGGCGCGCUGAUUAACCAGCUGAAUGGAGAAGAGGACUGAAUUAAUCCUAGAAGGAGGGCCUCCCAGAAAAGUCCCAGCCGCCUACUCCCCCGGGACCAGCAAACCUCUCUGGGACACCCUCUAGCAGCUCAAGACAUCCUUUUCCUGGAGGAGCUAAGAUGCUGAGUGGCACCUGGGAGCCUGAG